ACAGUGCCUCUGACUUUUUCAUAGGACAGUUGGCCGGUGAAUCUUAUUAAUAGUUUACCACAAUUAAGUGUUCAUUUUUAGUCUAGAAGGGACAGGCGUUUAUUGUGCAUUGGCCAGUGCCAGCACAUCCGAUGCAAGGCAGUUCACCGUAUUCUAUCUUUAAUUUUUACCAUGGUCCUCUGAGGUAGGUGUUCUUAUCUCUCUCUCUCUCUCUCUCUUUUAAACAGAGGAAGACAAACAUAAAGAUGAAGUGCUUAAUUCAAGGUCACACAAUGUCGGGGAUGGACCUCCAGAUUUCCUUACUGGAAAACAAGCUCAGGGCUCCCACUGAUUGUACAUUAUGAGACGGAGUCUUGCUAUGUUGCCCAGGCUGGUCUUGAACUCCUCACCUCAAGCGAUCCUCCCGUCUUGGCCUCCCAAGUGUCAGGAUUACGGGCAUGUGCUAUCACACCCAACCUGAUACAUUGCCUUUAUAAAUUUUUUUUUCUUUAUUCUAAAAACCAGAAAAAACAAAACUGGAUACAUGUGCAGAACAUGCAGGUUUGUUACAUAGCUGUACGUGUGCCAUGGUGGUUUGCUGCACCUAUUGACCUAUCCUGUAAGUUCCCUCCCCUCACCCCCACCCCCCAACAGCCCU
rnacentral:lncRNA from 10 species